CUGAGUACUUGUACCUUUGCUAAAGCACAGAUUGGAUCUGUCCAGCGUGCUCACCCCGGAGGUCAUGGCUCCCAUCCUGUCUCACCCCGAGGUGCAGCAGCGUCUCUCUCCCUUCCUCCCCUCCGGAGAGUCUCUCCCUCAGAGCAGCGAGGAGCUGAACAACACUCUCAGCUCGCCUCAGUUCCAGCAGGCGAUGAGUAUGUUCAGCAGUGUGCUGACCUUAGGUCUAUGAGGUGUGAUUUGUGCCAAAGAGCGAACUCACUGAGCAGACAAUCGUGUCGGUCG